rnacentral:rRNA from 1 species
AUGACUCUCGGCAACGGAUAUCUCGGCUCUCGCAUCGAUGAAGAACGUAGCGAAAUGCGAUACUUGGUGUGAAUUGCAGAAUCCCGUGAACCAUCGAGUCUUUGAACGCAAGUUGCGCCCGAAGCCGUCAGGCCGAGGGCACGUCUGCCUGGGUGUCACG